rnacentral:rRNA from 1 species
AGGACGAACGCUGGCGGCGUGCUUAACACAUGCAAGUCGAGCGGAAAGGCCCUUCGGGGUACUCGAGCGGCGAACGGGUGAGUAACACGUGAGCAACCUGCCCUUAGCUUCGGGAUAGCUCCGGGAAACCGGAAUUAAUACCGAAUAUGACUUUGGCUGACAUCAGCAGAAGUGGAAAGUUUUUCGGCUAGGGAUGGACUCGCGGCCUAUCAGCUAGUUGGUGAGGUAACGGCCCACCAAGGCGACGACGGGUAGCCGGCCUGAGAGGGCGACCGGCCACACUGGGACUGAGACACGGCCCAGACUCCUACGGGAGGCAGCAGUGGGGAAUAUUGCGCAAUGGGCGAAAGCCUGACGCAGCGACGCCGCGUGGGGGAUGAAUGCCUUCGGGUUGUAAACCCCUUUCAGCAGGGACGAAGCGAAAGUGACGGUACCUGCAGAAGAGCGCCGGCUAACUACGCGCCAGCGAGCCGC